UGUACACUGACCAGUUAUAAAAGUGGAUGUUCAAAUAAUAUAUGCAGUUUAAGCUGAAAUACUAUGUCAACUUGUGCUUCAACAGGAAGGACGCUAUGAGUACAAAUACAUUAUUGAUGGUGAAUGGACAUUUAACCAACAUGAGCUGGUUACCUCUCCCAACAAAGAUGGGCACGUCAACAAUUAUAUUCAAGUUGUCAAUGACAAUAGUGACAGCACUAGUGCAGCAGUACGUAAGAGGUUGACCGGUGAUGAUCCAUAUCUAACAAGGGAUGAACGGUUGGAAAUAAGACAGUUUCUGGAAACUUCUUUUGAUGAUGAUGGUGAUGAGUAAAUUGGAAAAGAAAAGGUACACAAAUCUGCAUAUAAAUACGUAAUGAGAUGCUGUACGUGUAUGAAUUAUUUAUUUGAAAUUUUUGUGACGGCAAUAAAUAUCAAUUAAGUGAUAUUUUGUAAAUUUAGCUAUUUCAUGUUGAAUAAAUGAAGUGAUGUAUUGUAAAUUUAGCUAUUUUCAUGUUUAAUUAUUUUUAGUUUUGGUUUAAAUUUAAAUGUGGAAUAUCA
rnacentral:misc_RNA from 1 species